rnacentral:rRNA from 1 species
CCUACGGGCGGCUGCAGUGGGGAAUAUUGGACAAUGGGGGGAACCCUGAUCCAGCCAUGCCGCGUGUGUGAAGAAGGCCCUCGGGUUGUAAAGCACUUUCAGUGAGGAAGAACGCCUGGUGGUUAAUACCAUCAGGAAAGACAUCACUCACAGAAGAAGCACCGGCUAACUCCGUGCCAGCAGCCGCGGUAAUACGGAGGGUGCGAGCGUUAAUCGGAAUUACUGGGCGUAAAGCGCGCGUAGGUGGCUUGAUAAGCCGGUUGUGAAAGCCCCGGGCUCAACCUGGGAACGGCAUCCGGAACUGUCAAGCUAGAGUGCAGGAGAGGAAGGUAGAAUUCCCGGUGUAGCGGUGAAAUGCGUAGAGAUCGGGAGGAAUACCAGUGGCGAAGGCGGCCUUCUGGACUGACACUGACACUGAGGUGCGAAAGCGUGGGUAGCAAACAGGAUUAGAUACCCCUGUAGUC